GGUAAGAAAAUAAGUAAAACAUAAAGAGGUAAAGUGUAAUUUAUCAAAAAAAAUAAAAAUAAAAUAUUAGUACUACGAAACUAAACGACAAAUCCUCACCGCCUAAAAUGAAAUAAUAAUACUAUAAAUUCAGAUUUAAUUACUUAGAAAUUAUUUUAAAUUAUUAUUUUGUGCUUCAAAUUUAUUUUAUGCAUAGACAUCAUAUUACACAAAUUCAAUUUCAACCACACGCUCUCAUUCGGGAUAAAUUAGGAAUAUUGUUUUAGAUAUGACAAAUUCGGAUAGUUAAGUGGGGUUCAUAGACUUUGGGCAAUUGCCCAAAUGGUCUUGGAGAGAUCAAUUGGCUACCAAGAUGUGUGAAGUUUCAGGUUCGAAUAUAUGAAGAGGCGUUGACCUGCGUUGUAAUCUAAUUACUAACAUAUUAACUAUUAUCUUGUGCAUAAAAAAAAAGAAAAAGAAAAAAAAAAAGGGUGGGGUUCAUAGAAUUAUUGAAAAUGAAAUCGUUACUAAGUGUUAGUUGAGCUUAAUCAAUCUCGAGUAAUGCUAUACAAACAAAAAAAUUCAUAUAUAAUAAUUUUGUUUUAGACUUUUCACUUUAAAACAAAACACCAUUGAAGAUGAGUUUCUUUACAAUAUCAUUCUUAUCAAAUUUUUUGUAUAAAUUUUAUACAUGAAUAUAAUUUUCCAUCUCUAUUAAUAAUUUCCUUUGACAGAAGCUCAAUGACUAAAAUUAUUAACAAAUUAAUAACUAAACAAUCCUGUUAGUGUCUUCUUAUUAUAACUAUGAAACCCAGACUUACAAUCCCAAUUUGGGGUCAAGAAUGGAAUGUUUGAUGAAGAUUGAAAAUGUGUAUUAUUAGAGUUAUAUAUAGAAUGAAUCUGAAUCACAUAUUUGUGUUUUUGGGUAAUUUCUAAAUUUGUAAUGUUGCUGCCAUAAAAAAUGCUACAUGUUAUCAUUUUUUUAUUAUUAAUGUCUAUUUGGUUUCUUUUAAUUGGUAUAAUCAUUAAAAAAAAAUAAUGAAGACAAAUAAGAUAUUAUCAUGAAAUUCCGUAAUAUAAAAUGACAAAAAAUCUGAUGAUAUGUAAUGAAUUUUUUUUUUUUUUUUUUUUUUUUAUAGUUGGUGGAACAAAAGUUAAUCUACAAUUUAGCUUAUUUUGAGACUUUUGUUGUGAAUUUUCACGCUUUGGUAGCUUUAUUGAAGUCUGUUUUGACCUCUCUUAUUUAGUUUCUUAGUGAGUAGAGAUAAUAUAAAGUUGUAAAAUUAUUUCAUCUCAUCACUCUCUCCCCUAUCCCUUUGAUGCCAAGUUGUCAAUAUAGGCUUGAUUUUAGAAGUGGGUUGGCUUUUUAUUUUAUUUUUUUCGACCUUUUUUGAUUUUUUUUUUUGUGAAAAAAAGAAUGUAAUGAUUAUAGAUUAGAUGUGAUAUUUUGUCUUAUUGGACUAAAAAGCUUAUUUUAUUUUUUUUAUGACUAUUUUAGCCAAAAAAUCCUCAAACACAACUUUUUAAACAUAGGCUGGCUUGGUUUGGUAAGUGAGUUGACUUUUUUGCUUUUUUAAUUAUUUUAGUCUGCGGUUAAAAAUUUUGGUGUGGGGAGGGUUUUUGACUUU